AUUGAACGCUGGCGGCAUGCCUUACACAUGCAAGUCGAACGGCAGCACGGGUGCUUGCACCUGGUGGCGAGUGGCGAACGGGUGAGUAAUACAUCGGAACAUGUCCUGUAGUGGGGGAUAGCCCGGCGAAAGCCGGAUUAAUACCGCAUACGAUCUACGGAUGACAGCGGGGGACCUUCGGGCCUCGCGCUAUAGGGUUGGCCGAUGGCUGAUUAGCUAGUUGGUGGGGUAAAGGCCUACCAAGGCGACGAUCAGUAGCUGGCCUGAGAGGACGACCAGCCACACUGGGACUGAGACACGGCCCAGACUCCUACGGGAGGCAGCAGUGGGGAAUUUUGGACAAUGGGCGAAAGCCUGAUCCAGCAAUGCCGCGUGUGUGAAGAAGGCCUUCGGGUUGUAAAGCACUUUUGUCCGGAAAGAAAUCCUUGGCCCUAAUACGGUCGGGGGAUGACGGUACCGGAAGAAUAAGCACCGGCUAACUACGUG
rnacentral:rRNA from 1 species